UAUAACAAAACAUCCUUUUUUCUUUAAAAUGGAUACAUUAAUCAUGUUUGUUGUGUAUUUUUUAAUCAAAGUGGAAAUCACUUUACUAAAUAAUGUUAACUUAACUGACUGCUUCACUUCCACUUUAAGAAUUUUUAUUAUUAUUAUUAUUAUUAUUAUUAUUAGUUUUAUUUCACUAUAAUAACCCUGGUGAUGUGUGAUUUGGGUCGCACCCACGUCCAACGGGUUGGUCAUGAAUACAGCACUGGGUCCGACUCCGAAGAUGAGCUGGUGAUGCCAGGCGUCUGGAAUCUCUUCUCCUUCAGGAACGGCCCGCUGCAUGUUCAUGGUGGCUACAGGAACAACUCCACGCAGAAUCCAGCGUCCCAACCAUGGCACCAGUUUCACCCUCCGCCGCGGAUACAGGCCAAAGAAGCGUCCCAUGACGCGGCCACCACUGGCCUGAUCAGCCCCGGAGAUCAGCUGCAGUCUCGUCCUCACGCUGUGGUUCACCAUCUCUGGAGUCACCGUGAUGCCCAGUGCCUGCAGGACGUCCACUACCGCUGUGGCUCCGCACGCUGACACCCCGAUCUGCAGCGUCUGUCUCUGAACGGCCUCCUGGAUGCUCCAUAGCAUGGCAGUGCAGAUCUUAGCCUCCUCUGCGUCCUGCACAGUGUCGUCAUGAGCGGCUUCGGCUUCAGAACGGAUCACCUCCAUGUCUUCUGGCUGCUGACCACUUCACCGGGAGAAACUCGACAAACAAAGUAAAUCCUUCACACAUUUUCCGUUCGCCCCUCUUGACAGGUUUGUUUUUAUUCCUUGAUUAGCUCUCGUG
ensembl:lncRNA